GGAUUUGUUUGCAAGAGACACAGAAAACUUGACAGUGAUCUCAUCUUUUGUUUCUCCAGUGUUUGAGGAGGGACAAAGCAGAUAACAAACGCCUCAGUGGCAUAGGUCUGAGAAGAACUGUGGCAGCUCUGCACCACCAAAGUAGUUGCAUCACAUCAAAAGUCUGCCUUGGAGGACAGCAGAACACCAGAUGCGCACAUCUUCAAGAAGGCUAAGCCCAGAGCCCUGCAUCUGGAGGUCCAGAGGAAGUGUCCCUGUCGAGGGAGUCUGCGCCAUGGUUGCAGUGGUGCUGCCGCCUUCGACUGGGGCGAAAUUCAAAGUCAAGAGAGCAGCACAUCAAUUUUCAGCUUGCAUGAAGACAAUACAUCAUAAUGUAAAGAACAAAAGAUUUGGAGUCAGACAAAGUUUGGAAACCUGAAUUUGCCACUGCCAAUGACAACUGAUUUCAGGCAAGUAUUUUGCAUCCAUGGGUAUAACGGUUCUCAUCUGCAAAACAGGAAUACUUGUGCCACGUUGGCAGAGCAGGAGAGAUAAUGGAGGUAAAGUGCUGAUACAAAGUAGUUGUUCACAAAGGUUAGCUGACUUCUUGAGUCACUGGAGCUCAAGCUUUGCAUCUUUCUUGUACCCUUCUCCC
rnacentral:lncRNA from 1 species